AUCUGUGGAAGGUGCACAACUUGCAAGCUUGCAAAGUCUAAAGUUCAACCCCACGGUUUGUAUACUCCUUUGCCUAUUCCUACUCAUCCUUGGAAUGACAUAUCUAUGGAUUUUGUUAUGGGUUUGCCUAGAACUAGGAAUGGAAAGGAUUCUAUCUUUGUGGUUGUUGAUAGAUUCUCUAAAAUGGCACAUUUCAUAGCUUGCAAUAAAACUGAUGAUGCAUUACAUGUAGCUAAUUUGUUCUUUAAAGAAGUUGUACGUUUGCAUGGAAUACCUAGGACUAUAGUUUCAGACAGAGAUACUAAAUUCCUCAGCUACUUUUGGAAAACAUUGUGGUCUAAACUAGGAACUAAGCUAUUGUUUUCUACUACUUGUCAUCCACAAACUGAUGGGCAAACUGAAGUAGUUAAUCGAACCCUAGGGACUCUCCUGCGUGCAUUCAUCAAAAAGAACUUGAAAUCAUGGGAAGAUUACUUGCCUCAUUGUGAAUUUGCAUACAAUCAUGCUAUGCAUUCUGCUUCUAAGUUUUCUCCUUUUGAAAUUGUUUAUGGGUUCAAUCCCAUCUCACCUUUGGAUCUAAUACCUUUGCCUGAGUGUGAAAGAGUUAGUAUGGAUGGGAAAAGGAAAGCUGAGAUGGUUCAGCAGAUUCAUGAGCAAGCUAAGCGCAAUCUUGAAGAGGAAACUAAGCAAUACGCCAAACAAGCUAACAAGGGAAGGCGUGAGAUGAUCUUUGAAGUUGGAGAUCAAGUAUGGGUUCACUUGAGGAAAGAGAGGUUUCCAAAAGAGAGGAAGUCUAAGUUAAUGCCGAGAAUUGAUGGCCCUUUUGAAGUCACCAAGAGGAUCAAUGACAAUGCCUACAAACUUGAUCUGCAAGGUAAGUACGAUAUAAGUGAUAGCUUCAAUGUUACUGACUUAAUUCCUUUUAUUGCAGAUGAGCCAGAUUUGAGGACAGAUCCUUUUCAAGAGGGAGGGGAUGAUAUGAUCAUGGACCAACUAGCUAAUGAAGAUGAUGAGGAUCUAGAUAAGCCGGCUGAUGAAGAUGUUCUAGUCUUAUCUAAAGGACCUCUAACUCGAUCAAGAUCAAGGAAGCUCACGCAAGCUAUUGGAGGAUUGGUUAAGAUGUCAUGGAAGCAAGAGGAAUGUCUUGGUAAAAGCUUAAUCAGCCAAGACACACUUAUCACCAUUCAAGCUACUUCACCAUCAAGCUGAUCAUCAACUAAGCAAGCAAUCUAUGCGUGUUCUUUUUCCCUAUCUUUGGUUUUGUCCCAUUGGGUUUUCCAAAGAUAAGUUUUUAACGAGGCCAUAGAUUUGCUUCUCAAAUCUCUUAGUUGAUGAUCUCGAUCCAACCUUAUCCCGGAUCAACCUUAUGUUAUAUUAUGUCUUUCAUGUUAUGCUUUUGUUUUCAAACUUGUCUUUUGUUUCUAUUUCCAAGAGAGCCGUGUGCCUUUACUCUCUUGAUAGUUUUUGAGAAGCUUGGAGUCUGUUCCAACUUCUCUUAUAUAAGAGUACUUUGAAACCCUUAUGAAGAUUCAAUUAUCUUUGCUCAUAAACAUUUCUCUUGUUCUCUCUACUACUUGUUUCACGAGUUGUUGAGUGUUCUUGUUGGUGUGUAAUAUCCAACAGCCCAAGAGUGUCUAUCUCGGUAUGUUAUAUCCGAUCUAGUCACUUAGGAGUAUCAGGAAGCCUUUCCGCAGCCUCUUGUGUCACCAAUCGAUUCACAACCUUGUAGAGCUUGAGUCUUUGAUUCGUUCUAGCAAGGAUCUAUCCCAUACUAUCCAGAGAAGCAAUCUAGGGACGUAUUAAAACCAGUCCUAGAUCACCUAAGAGUGUUUGGGUGUGUAAGCUAUGUUCUUGUCCCGGGAGAGAUGAGUAACAAGCUGGAAGCAAAGAGUAUCAAAGCUAUGAUGAUAGGAUACUCAACUACACAGAAGGGAUACAAGUGCUUUGUUCCUGAGACAAGGAGAGUCCUUGUAUCUAGAGAUGUCAAGUUCUUUGAAGAGAAGAGCUACUAUGAAGAAAAAGAUUGGAAAGAGCUGGAGGAUCUUUCACAACCUUCAGAUAGAGCUACAAGCUUGAGACAGAUACUAGAAGAUCUUGGAAUUGGAAUGUCCCAGGAGUCGACAGAGGAUCAGUCAUCUGAAGGACAAGAAGCUGAAGAACCAUCUCACCUUGAUCAUGAGGGAGGGAAUGGAAUUGAGCCGGAUGAGAACCAAGAUUUUGCGGAUCAUCCUGAUCAAGGUGGAGCUGAACCAAGUAAUGAAGAGCUCAAUGAGUUACCAGAACAAGGAGGAGUGGAAGCAACUGAAGUAGAAGCACCAGAGCAAGCACCAGCUGAGGUACCAUUAAGGAGAAGCACACGGCUGAAGACAGAUGCUUCCAACUGGGUAAACACGAGAGUGUACUACAAUGCCCAGGCUGUUGAGCAUCCUUCUCAAGCUGUGUGUUCAUUUGCUUGUUAUCCAAAGGAGCAUUGGACAUUCAUGAUGAGCCUAGAUGAAAGUAGUGUACCAAGAUCAUAUGAAGAAGCAAUGCUACAUCAAGAUUGGAAGGAAUCUGUUGGAGAUGAAGCAAAUGCCAUGAUAAAGAAUGACACUUGGUUUGAAAGUGAGUUGCCAAAAGGAAAGAAGGCAGUAACCAGCAAGUGGAUAUUCACCAUUAAGUAUCUACCUGAUGGAACCAUUGACAGAAAGAAGACAAGACUGGUGGCUAGAGGAUACACUCAAACAUAUGGGGAAACUACAUUGAUACCUUUGCCCCUGUUGCCAAGCUACAUACAAUAAGAAUUGUAUUGUCUCUUGCUGUGAACCUUGAGUGGGAGCUUUGGCAGAUGGAUGUGAAGAAUGCCUUUCUUCAAGGAGAGCUAGAGGAUGAAGUGUAUAUGCAUCCACCACCAGGCCUAGAGCAUCUUGUGAAACCUGGAAACGUAUUGAGACUCAAGAAGGCUAUCUAUGGAUUAAAAAAAUCUCCUAGAGCAUGGUACAACAAGUUGAGUACUACCUUAAAUGGACGUGGGUUCAAGAAGUCUGAACUGGAUCACACUCUCUUCACUCUCACUACACCCUCAGGUAUCAUUUGUCUACUUGUAUAUGUUGAUGACAUUAUCAUAACAGGUAGUGAUAAAGCUGGUAUAAAAGCCACAAAGGAGUUUUUGAAAUCUGUGUUUGAAAUCAAAGACUUAGGAGAAAUGAAAUACUUCCUUGGAAUUGAGUUGUGUAGAUCUAAGGAAGGAUUGUUCAUUUCCCAAAGGAAGUAUACACUUGAUCUUUUGAAAGAUGCAGGUAUACAAGGAGAUAAGACAGCAAAGAUGCCUCUUGAAGAUGGAUACAAGAUUCCACGUGAGGGGGAGAUUGAAGAUAGCAAGGCCUUUCAUGAUCCAAAGCUAUACAGGAAGCUAGUAGGGAAGCUCAUCUACCUCACAAUCACACGACCAGACAUAUGCUUUGCUGUGAACCAAGUAAGCCAGCAUAUGCAAGUCCCAAAGGAGCAUCACUGGCGCAUGGUGGAGAGACUUCUCUUGUAUCUGAAUGGGACGUCAAGCCUUGGAGUGUGGAUGGGAUGCAACAAGAGCACUGAAGUGGUGGGAUACUGUGAUGCGGAUUGGGCUGGAGAUAGAGCAGACAGGAGAUCAACCACCGGCUAUUGUACAUUCAUUGGAGGCAACUUGGUGACUUGGAAGAGUAAGAAACAGAAGGUGGUGUCUUGUUCAAGCGCUGAAGCUGAGUACAGAGCAAUGCUGAAGCUUACCAAUGAGUUGGUAUGGAUCAAAGGAAUCUUGAAGCACUUGGAGAUAGAGCAGGCAACUCCAAUGACUAUGCAUUGUGAUAAUCAAGCGGCUAUACACAUUGCAACCAACUCAGUCUUCCAUGAGAGAACCAAGCACAUUGAAGUUGAUUGUCACAAGGUGAGGCAGAUGAUUGUAUUGGGAGUAAUCUUGUCGUGCUACACAAGGAGUGAGGAUCAACUUGCGGAUGUGUUUACCAAGGCUGCAAGACAAAAGACUAUGGAGUUCAUUCAUACCAGAUUGGGACUCAUAGAUCUUUCCUCAAGGAGCUGAUCCCCUUUGCCAUGAGGUUUUUACUCUUUUUCCCUCAUCAAGGUUUUGUCCCAAUGGGUUUUCCUUGGUGAGGUUUUUAAUGAGGAAGAUCUCAUGGUUGUUCCAAGCUUAACUAAGUUAUUAAGUUAAGCUUGAGGGGGAGUGUUGAAAUGAGUUGAUCAAUAUGUGAGAAGAUGGCUUAAGGAGUUGGGAAUGAGAUAGUGUGAAGGCAAAGAGAAGGAGAGCUUGGGAGUGAUCAGGCCGUACAAGGCCGUACCGGCCGUACCAUCCGUACGGUCCGGAUCAAUCCACUACUCGACCAAGAAGAGAAGUUACCGCGUGAAAGAAGUAAACGGCCAAAGGGGUUUUACCUUAGAGGAUAUGACCGUUUGGAUGGAUAGAGUGACUGAGCCUUAUCCUCACUGGCUGGAACAGGCUGUAAAGGCAAAAGGAACCUAGUCCGAGAUGCCAAAAGCGUGUGACAGCUCUCAUUGGAUCAGUUUUGAAUUAAAGCAACCUUAUCCUUGACCUCACAUGCUUAGUCUCUCUAAAACCCUUGUAUCUGAUCCUAUAUAUUGUAAACUCUGCCUUGAUUAAUGAUUAACACGAUUUCAUCAUAAUCUCUCUCUAGUUCAUCAUAUUUCUCUUCUACAUUUCAUAAAUCAUCUCAUCUCACUUUAAUCUUUCUCUAAAUCUCUCAAUACCUGUUCAACUCUCUAAAAUCAUAGUUCCAAUCAAACCAGGAUGAAUCACUUUGUAAGAAGCUUGAUUUGGAUACAUAAAGUGGUGGAGAAUUACCAGAAAGUUGAAUUAAUCUCAUAGGAGUUGGGAUGAAUGAGUUAUCCCACUUUCAAAUCAGGUGAUUCCAGUUUGUGAAUAGGACAGCUUCUUCGUCGUUCCAAUCAAACCAGGAUGAAACACUUUGUAAGAAGCUUGAUUUGGAUACAUAAAGUGUUGGAGAAACACCAGGAAGUUGAAUAAAUCUCGUAAGAGUUGGGAUGAAUGAGUUAUCCCACUUUCAAAUAAGGUGAUUCCAGUUUCCCAGUUUGGGAAUAGGACAGCUUCUUCGUCGUUCCAAUCAAACCAUGAUGAAUCACUUUGUAAGAAGCUUGAUUUGGAUACAUAAAGUGUUGGAGAAUCACCAGGAAGUUGAAUAAAUCUCAUAGGAGUUGGGAUGAAGAAGUUAUCCCACUUUCUAAUCAGGUGAUUCUAGUUUCCCAGUUUGGGAAUAAGACAGCUUCUUCGUCGUUCCAAUCAAACCAGGAUGAAUCACUUUGUAACAAGCUUGAUUUGGAUACAUAAAGUGUUGGAGAAUCACCAGGAAGUUGAAUAAAUCUCAUAGGAGUUGGGAUGAAGAAGUUAUCCCACUUUCUAAUCAGGUGAUUCCAGUUUCACAGUUUGGGAAUCGGACAGCUUCUUUGUCGUUCCAAUCAAACCAGGAUGAAUCACUUUGUAAGAAGCUUGAUUUGGAUACAUAAAGUGUUGGAGAAUCACCAGGAAGUUGAAUAAAUCUCAUAGGAGUUGGGAUGAAGAAGUUAUCCCACUUUCUAAUCAGGUGAUUCCAGUUUCCCAGUUUGGGAAUAAGACAGCUUCUUCGUCGUUCCAAUCAAACCAGGAUGAAUCACUUUGUCAGAAGCUUGAUUUGGAUACAUAAAAUGGUGGAGAAACAUCAGGAAGUUGAAUAAAUCUCAUAGGAGUUGGGAUGAAGAAGUUAUCCCACUUUCUAAUCAGGUGAUUCUAGUUUCCCAGUUUGGGAAUAGGACAGCUUCUUCGUCGUUCCAAUCAAACCAGGAUAAAUCACUUUGUAAGAAGCUUGAUUUGGAUACAUAAAGUGUUGGAGAAUCACCAGGUAGUUGAAUUAAUCUCAUAGGAGUUGGGAUGAAUGAGUUAUCCCACUUUCAAAUCAGGUGAUUCCAGUUUUCCCAGUUUGGGAAUAAGACAACUUCUUCGUCGUUCCAAUCAAAACAGGAUGAAUCACUUUGUAAGAAGCUUGAUUUGGAUACAUAAAGUGUUGGAGAAUCACCAGGAAGUUGAAUAAAUCUCAUAGGAGUUGGGAUGAAGAAGUUAUCCCACUUUCUAAUCAGGUGAUUCCAGUUUCCCAGUUUGGGAAUAUGACAGCUUCUUCGUCGUUCCAAUCAAACCAGGAUGAAUCACUUUGUAAGAAGCUUGAUUUGGAUACAUAAAGUGUUGGAGAAUCACCAGGAAGUUGAAUUAAUCUCAUAGGAGUUGGGAUGAAUGAGUUAUCCCACUUUCAAAUCAGGUGAUUCCAGUUUCCCAGUUUGGGAAUAGGACAGCUUCUUCGUCGUUCCAAUCAAACCAUGAUGAAUCACUUUGUAAGAAGCUUGAUUUGGAUACAUAAAGUGUUGGAGAAUCACCAGGAAGUUGAAUAAAUCUCAUAGGAGUUGGGAUGAAGAAGUUAUCCCACUUUCUAAUCAGGUGAUUCCAGUUUCCCAGUUUGGGAAUAGGACAGCUUCUUUGUCGUUCCAAUCAAACCAGGAUGAAUCACUUUGUAAGAAGCUUGAUUUGGAUACAUAAAGUGUUGGAGAAUCACCAGGAAGUUGAAUAAAUCUCAUAGGAGUUGGGAUGAAGAAGUUAUCCCACUUUCUAAUCAGGUGAUUCCAGUUUCCCAGUUUGGGAAUAGGACAGCUUCUUCGUCGUUCCAAUCAAACCAGGAUGAAUCACUUUGUAAGAAGCUUGAUUUGGAUACAUAAAGUGUUGGAGAAUCACCAGGAAGUUGAAUAAAUCUCAUAGGAGUUGGGAUGAAGAAGUUAUCCCACUUUCUAAUCAGGUGAUUCCAGUUUCCCAGUUUGGGAAUAGGACAGCUUCUUCGUCGUUCCAAUCAAACCAGGAUGAAUCACUUUGUAAGAAGCUUGAUUUGGAUACAUAAAGUGUUGGAGAAUCACCAGGAAGUUGAAUAAAUCUCAUAGGAGUUGGGAUGAAUGAGUUAUCCCACUUUCAAAUCAGGUGAUUCCAGUUUCCCAGUUUGGGAAUAGGACAGCUUCUUCGUCGUUCCAAUCAAACCAGGAUGAAUCACUUUGUAAGAAGCUUGAUUUGGAUACAUAAAGUGUUGGAGAAUCACAAGGAAGUUGAAUUAAUCUCAUAGGAGUUGGGAUGAAGAAGUUAUCCCACUUUCUAAUCAGGUGAUUCCAGUUUCCCAGUUUGGGAAUAGGACAGCUUUUUCGUCGUUCCAAUCAAACCAGGAUGAAUCACUUUGUAAGAAGCUUGAUUUGGAUACAUAAAGUGUUGGAGAAUCACCAGGAAGUUGAAUUAAUCUCAUAGGAGUUGGGAUGAAGAAGUUAUCCCACUUUCUAAUCAGGUGAUUCCAGUUUCCCAGUUUGGGAAUAGGACAGCUUCUUCGUCGUUCCAAUCAAACCAGGAUGAAUCACUUUGUAAGAAGCUUGAUUUGGAUACAUAAAGUGUUGGAGAAUCACCAGGAAGUUGAAUAAAUCUCAUAGGAGUUGGAUGAAGAAGUUAUCCCACUUUCUAAUCAGGUGAUUCCAGUUUCCCAGUUUGGGAAUAGGACAGCUUCUUUGUCGUUCCAAUCAAACCAGGAUGAAUCACUUUGUAAGAAGCUUGAUUUGGAUACAUAAAAUGGUGGAGAAACAUCAGGAAGUUGAAUAAAUCUCAUAGGAGUUGGGAUGAAGAAGUUAUCCCACUUUCUAAUCAGGUGAUUCCAGUUUCCCAGUUUGGGAAUAGGACAGCUUCUUCGUCGUUCCAAUCAAACCAGGAUGAAUCACUUUGUAAGAAGCUUGAUUUGGAUACAUAAAGUGUUGGAGAAUCACCAGGAAGUUGAAUUAAUCUCAUAAGAGUUGGGAUGAAUGAGUUAUCCCACUUUCUAAUCAGGUGAUUCCAGUUUCCCAGUUUGGGAAUAGGACAGCUUCUUCGUCGUUCCAAUCAAACCAGGAUGAAUCACUUUGUAAGAAGCUUGAUUUGGAUACAUAAAAUGGUGGAGAAACACCAGGAAGUUGAAUAAAUCUCAUAGGAGUUGGGAUGAAGAAGUUAUCCCACUUUCUAAUCAGGUGAUUCCAGUUUCCCAGUUUGGGAAUAGGACAGCUUCUUCGUCGUUCCAAUCAAACCAGGAUGAAUCACUUUGUAAGAAGCUUGAUUUGGAUACAUAAAGUGGUGGAGAAUCACCAGGAAGUUGAAUAAAUCUCAUAGGAGUUGGGAUGAAGAAGUUAUCCCACUUUCAAAUCAGGUGAUUCCAGUUUCCCAGUUUGGGAAUAGGACAGCUUCUUCGUCGUUCCAAUCAAACCAGGAUGAAUCACUUUGUAAGAAGCUUGAUUUGGAUACAUAAAGUGGUGGAGAAUCACCAGGAAGUUGAAUAAAUCUCAUAGGAGUUGGGAUGAAUGAGUUAUCCCACUUUCAAAUCAGGUGAUUCCAGUUUCCCAGUUUGGGAAUAGGACAGCUUCUUCGUCGUUCCAAUCAAACCAGGAUGAAUCACUUUGUAAGAAGCUUGAUUUGGAUACAUAAAGUGUUGGAGAAACACCAGGAAGUUGAAUAAAUCUCAUAGGAGUUGGGAUGAAGAAGUUAUCCCACUUUCUAAUCAGGUGAUUCCAGUUUCCCAGUUUGGGAAUAGGACAGCUUCUUCGUCGUUCCAAUCAAACCAGGAUGAAUCACUUUGUAAGAAGCUUGAUUUGGAUACAUAAAGUGUUGGAGAAUCACCAGGAAGUUGAAUUAAUCUCAUAGGAGUUGGGAUGAAUGAGUUAUCCCACUUUCAAAUCAGGUGAUUCCAGUUUCCCAGUUUGGGAAUAGGACAGCUUCUUCGUCGUUCCAAUCAAACCAGGAUGAAUCACUUUGUAAGAAGCUUGAUUUGGAUACAUAAAGUGUUGGAGAAUCACCAGGAAGUUGAAUAAAUCUCAUAGGAGUUGGGAUGAAGAAGUUAUCCCACUUUCUAAUCAGGUGAUUCCAGUUUCCCAGUUUGGGAAUAGGACAGCUUCUUCGUCGUUCCAAUCAAACCAGGAUGAAUCACUUUGUAAGAAGCUUGAUUUGGAUACAUAAAGUGUUGGAGAAUCACCAGGAAGUUGAAUAAAUCUCAUAGGGGUUGGGAUGAAGAAGUUAUCCCACUUUCUAAUCAGGUGAUUCCAGUUUCCCAGUUUGGGAAUAGGACAGCUUCUUCGUCGUUCCAAUCAAACCAGGAUGAAUCACUUUGUAAGAAGCUUGAUUUGGAUACAUAAAGUGUUGGAGAAUCACCAGGAAGUUGAAUAAAUCUCAUAGGAGUUGGGAUGAAGAAGUUAUCCCACUUUCUAAUCAGGUGAUUCCAGUUUCCCAGUUUGGGAAUAGGACAGCUUCUUCGUCGUUCCAAUCAAACCAGGAUGAAUCACUUUGUAAGAAGCUUGAUUUGGAUACAUAAAGUGUUGGAGAAUCACCAGGAAGUUGAAUAAAUCUCAUAGGAGUUGGGAUGAAGAAGUUAUCCCACUUUCUAAUCAGGUGAUUCCAGUUUCCCAGUUUGGGAAUAGGACAGCUUCUUCGUCGUUCCAAUCAAACCAGGAUGAAUCACUUUGUAAGAAGCUUGAUUUGGAUACAUAAAGUGGUGGAGAAACCAGGAAGUUGAAUAAAUCUCAUAGGAGUUGGGAUGAAGAAGUUAUCCCACUUUCUAAUCAGGUGAUUCCAGUUUCCCAGUUUGGGAAUAGGACAGCUUCUUCGUCGUUCCAAUCAAACCAGGAUGAAUCAAUUUGUAAGAAGCUUGAUUUGGAUACAUAAAGUGUUGGAGAAUCACCAGGAAGUUGAAUAAUCUCAUAGGAGUUGGGAUGAAGAGUUAUCCCACUUUCAAAUCAGGUGAUUCCAGUUUCCCAGUUUGGAAAUAGGACAGCUUCUUCGUCGUUCCAAUCAAACCAAGAUGAAUCACUUUGUAAGAAGCUUGAUUUGGAUACAUAAAAUGGUGGAGAAACAUCAGGAAGUUGAAUAAAUCUCAUAGGAGUUGGGAUGAAGAAGUUAUCCCACUUUCUAAUCAGGUGAUUCCAGUUUCCCAGUUUGGGAAUAGGACAGCUUCUUCGUCGUUCCAAUCAAACCAGGAUGAAUCACUUUGUAAGAAGCUUGAUUUGGAUACAUAAAGUGGUGGAGAAACAUCAGGAAGUUGAAUAAAUCUCAUAGUAGUUGGGAUGAAGAAGUUAUCCCACUUUCAAAUCAGGUGAUUCCAGUUUCCCAGUUUGGGAAUAGGACAGCUUCUUCGUCGUUCCAAUCAAACCAGGAUGAAUCACUUUGUCAGAAGCUUGAUUUGGAUACAUAAAAUGGUGGAGAAACACCAGGAAGUUGAAUAAAUCUCAUAGGAGUUGGGAUGAAUGAGUUAUCCCACUUUCAAAUCAGGUGAUUCCAGUUUCCCAGUUUGGGAAUAGGACAGCUUCUUCGUCGUUCCAAUCAAACCAGGAUGAAUCACUUUGUAAGAAGCUUGAUUUGGAUACAUAAAGUGUUGGAGAAACACCAGGAAGUUGAAUAAAUCUCAUAGGAGUUGGGAUGAAGAAGUUAUCCCACUUUCUAAUCAGGUGAUUCCAGUUUCCCAGUUUGGGAAUAGGACAGCUUCUUCGUCGUUCCAAUCAAACCAGGAUGAAUCACUUUGUAAGAAGCUUGAUUUGGAUACAUAAAGUGUUGGAGAAUCACCAGGAAGUUGAAUUAAUCUCAUAGGAGUUGGGAUGAAUGAGUUAUCCCACUUUCAAAUCAGGUGAUUCCAGUUUCCCAGUUUGGGAAUAGGACAGCUUCUUCGUCGUUCCAAUCAAACCAGGAUGAAUCACUUUGUAAGAAGCUUGAUUUGGAUACAUAAAGUGUUGGAGAAUCACCAGGAAGUUGAAUAAAUCUCAUAGGAGUUGGGAUGAAGAAGUUAUCCCACUUUCUAAUCAGGUGAUUCCAGUUUCCCAGUUUGGGAAUAGGACAGCUUUUUCGUCGUUCCAAUCAAACCAGGAUGAAUCACUUUGUAAGAAGCUUGAUUUGGAUACAUAAAGUGUUGGAGAAUCACCAGGAAGUUGAUUUAAUCUCAUAAGAGUUGGGAUGAAGAAGUUAUCCCACUUUCUAAUCAGGUGAUUCCAGUUUCCCAGUUUGGGAAUAGGACAGCUUUUCGUCGUUCCAAUCAAACCAGGAUGAAUCACUUUGUAAGAAGCUUGAUUUGGAUACAUAAAGUGUUGGAGAAUCACCAGGAAGUUGAAUAAAUCUCAUAGGAGUUGGGAUGAAGAAGUUAUCCCACUUUCUAAUCAGGUGAUUCCUGUUUCCCAGUUUGGGAAUAGGACAGCUUCUUCGUCGUUCCAAUCAAACCAGGAUGAAUCACUUUGUAAGAAGCUUGAUUUGGAUACAUAAAGUGUUGGAGAAUCACCAGGAAGUUGAAUAAAUCUCAUAGUAGUUGGAUUAAGAAGUUAUCCCACUUUCUAAUUAGGUGAUUCCAGUUUUCCAGUUUGGGAAUAUGACAGCUUCUUUGUCGUUCCAAUCAAAUCAGGAUGAAUCACAUUGUAAGAAGCUUGAUUUGGAUACAUAAAGUGUUGGAGAAUCACCAGGAAGUUGAAUUAAUCUCAUAGGAGUUGGGAUGAAGAAGUUAUCCCACUUUCUAAUCAGGUGAUUCCAGUUUCCCAGUUUGGAAUAGGACAGCUUCUUCGUCGUUCCAAUCAAACCAGGAUGAAUCACUUUGUAAGAAGCUUGAUUUGGAUACAUAAAGUGUUGGAGAAUCACCAGGAAGUUGAAUAAUCUCAUAGGAGUUGGGAUGAAGAAGUUAUCCCACUUUAAAUCAGGUGAUUCCAGUUUCCCAGUUUGGGAAUAGGACAGCUUCUUCGUCGUUCCAAUCAAACCAGGAUGAAUCACUUUGUAAGAAGCUUGAUUUGGAUACAUAAAGUGGUGGAGAAUCACCAGGAAGUUGAAUAAUCUCAUAGGAGUUGGGAUGAAGAAGUUAUCCCACUUUCUAAUCAGGUGAUUCCAGUUUCCCAGUUGGGAAUAGGACAGCUUCUUCGUCGUUCCAAUCAAACCAGGAUGAAUCACUUUGUAAGAAGCUUGAUUUGGAUACAUAAAGUGGUGGAGAAUCACCAGGAAGUUGAAUAAAUCUCAUAGGAGUUGGGAUGAAGAAGUUAUCCCACUUUCAAAUCAGGUGAUUCCAGUUUCCCCCAGUUUGGGAAUAGGACAGCUUCUCUCUUCGUCGUUCCAAUCAAACCAGGAUGAAUCACUUUGUAAGAAGCUUGAUUUGGAUACAUAAAGGUGGGGAGAAACACCAGGAAGUUGAAUAAAUCUCAUAGGAGUUGGGAUGAAGAAGUUAUCCCACUUUCUAAUCAGGUGAUUCCAGUUUUCCCAGUUUGGGAAUAGGACAGCUUCUUCGUCGUUCCAAUCAACCAGGAUGAAUCACUUUGUAAGAAGCUUGAUUUGGAUACAUAAAGUGUUGGAGAAUCACCAGGAAGUUGAAUAAUCUCAUAGGAGUUGGGAUGAAGAAGUUAUCCCACUUUCUAAUCAGGUGAUUCCAGUUUCCAGUUUGGGAAUAGGACAGCUUCUUCGUCGUUCCAAUCAACCAGGAUGAAUCACUUUGUAAGAAGCUUGAUUUGGAUACAUAAAGUGUUGGAGAAUCACCAGGAAGUUGAAUAAAUCUCAUAGGAGUUGGGAUGAAGAAGUUAUCCCACUUUCUAAUCAGGUGAUUCCAGUUUCCCAGUUUGGGAAUAGGACAGCUUCUUCGUCGUUCCAAUCAAACCAGGAUGAAUCACUUUGUAAGAAGCUUGAUUUGGAUACAUAAAGUGUUGGAGAAUCACCAGGAAGUUGAAUAAAUCUCAUAGGAGUUGGGAUGAAGAAGUUAUCCCACUUUCUAAUCAGGUGAUUCCAGUUUCCCAGUUUGGGAAUAGGACAGCUUCUUCGUCGUUCCAAUCAAACCAGGAUGAAUCACUUUGUAAGAAGCUUGAUUUGGAUACAUAAAGUGGUGGAGAAUCACCAGGAAGUUGAAUAAAUCUCAUAGGAGUUGGGAUGAAGAAGUUAUCCCACUUUCUAAUCAGGUGAUUCCAGUUUCCCAGUUUGGGAAUAGGACAGCUUCUUCGUCGUUCCAAUCAAACCAGGAUGAAUCACUUUGUAAGAAGCUUGAUUUGGAUACAUAAAUUUGGAGAAUCACCAGGAAGUUGAAUAAAUCUCAUAGGAGUUGGGAUGAAGAAGUUAUCCCCUUUCUAAUCAGGUGAUUCAUUCCAGUUUCCCAGUUUGGGAAUAGGACAGCUUCUUCGUCGUUCCAAUCAAACCAGGAUGAAUCACUUUGUAAGAAGCUUGAUUUGGAUACAUAAGUUUGGAGAAUCACCAGGAAGUUGAAUAAAUCUCAUAGGAGUUAGGGAUGAAGAAGUUGCCCACUUUCUAAUCAUGUGAUUCCCUUGAUUUGGAUACAUAAAUGGUGGAGAAUCACCAGGAAGUUGAAUAAAUCUCAUAGGAGUUGGGAUGAAGAAGUUAUCCCACUUUCUAAUCAGGUGAUUCCAGUUUCCCAGUUUGGGAAUAGGACAGCUUCUUCGUCGUUCCAAUCAAACCAGGAUGAAUCACUUUGUAAGAAGCUUGAUUUGGAUACAUAAAGUGUUGGAGAAUCACCAGGAAGUUGAAUAAAUCUCAUAGGAGUUGGGAUGAAGAAGUUAUCCCACUUUCUAAUCAGGUGAUUCCAGUUUCCCAGUUUGGGAAUAGGACAGCUUCUUCGUCGUUCCAAUCAAACCAGGAUGAAUCACUUUGUAAGAAGCUUGAUUUGGAUACAUAAAGUGUUGGAGAAUCACCAGGAAGUUGAAUAAAUCUCAUAGGAGUUGGGAUGAAGAAGUUAUCCCACUUUCUAAUCAGGUGAUUCCAGUUUCCCAGUUUGGGAAUAGGACAGCUUCUUCGUCGUUCCAAUCAAACCAGGAUGAAUCACUUUGUAAGAAGCUUGAUUUGGAUACAUAAGUGUUGGAGAAUCACCAGGAAGUUGAAUAAAUCUCAUAGGAGUUGGGAUGAAGAAGUUAUCCCACUUUCUAAUCAGGUGAUUCUAUACACUUUUGUGUAUUAGAGCAUGAUUCAACUAAUCCAGGAUAAUCAGAUGAAAAGAUUAAAGAGAUUAAGAGAUUUUAGUGAGAGAAUAGAGAGAGACUCAAAACUCCAUUAGAUUGAUUAAUGAGAGAGUUUACAACACAUAUAGAUUAGGGAUACAUCAAUUCGUCCAGGUUCACUCUAGCUAGGAUAGAAAGCAUGUGUAGUCAAAGAUGCUUGAUUAAACUAGCCAAUAAGGUUCCUCACAUGCUUGGGCAUCUUGCUUUAGCUUUCCAGCUGGUGCCAGCCUGUCUAAAGCUCUCUAGCCUUGACCAGACCUUAUCCAAACUUCCUUGCUUAUUCAGACUCAUCCUGGCGUGUUUCACUCUUCACAUAGAUGCAAGGUAACUUCCCAAGUCUUUUAACUCAGUUACCACAGUAACAAUAAAGUUACUGUGGUAAAUCUCCAAGUUACUGCCUGCUCCAAAUCCCUUCCUCUAUCCAUGUAUCCACUCUCUCCAUCUCCUCAUCUCAACACUCCCCCUCAAGCUUGACCAUGUAGAACAAGUCAAGCUUGGAAACCAUGAAGACCUCCCUCAUUAAAAACCUCACCAAGGAAAACCCAAUGGGAUAAAACCUUGAUGAGGGAAAAAGAGUGGAGACUCCAUGGUUAAGGGGCUCAUCUCCUAGGAGUAAGAUCAAUGAGUCCAAGUCUUGAUAGUAUGGACUCCAUUGUCUUCAAUCUCGCUGCCUUAGUAAACACAUCUGCAAGCUGAUCUUCACUUCUUGUAUAACAUGGCAAUAUCACUCCAAGUAUAAUCAUCUGCCUCACCUUGUGGCAAUCUCCUCUAUAUGCUUCGUCCUCUCAUGAAAGACUGAGUUAGAAGCAAUGUGGAUAGCUGCUUGAUUGUCACAAUGCAUUGUCAUAGGAGUACUCUGCUCAAUCUCCAAAUGCUUCAAGAUCCCCUUGAUCCACACCAACUCGUUUGUCAGCUUCAACAUGGCUCUAUACUCAGCUUCAGCACUUGAACAGGAGAUAACCUUCUGCUUCUUACUCUUCCAAGUGACCAAGUUCCUCCAAUGAAUGUACAAUACCCAGUAGUUGAUCUCCUGUCCACUCUAUCUCCUGCCCAAUCAGCAUCACAAUAUCCAACCACUUCUGUACUGCCAUUACAACCCAUCCAAACUCCUUGACCAGACGUGCCACUCAAAUACCUCAGUAUCCUAUCAACCAUCUUCCAAUGAUGAACCUUUGGUGCCUGCAUAUGCUGGCUCACUUGAUUCACAGCAAAGCAUAUAUCAGGUCUUGUGAUCGUCAAGUAGAUCAGCUUCCAACCAUCCUCCUAUACAGCUUAGCAUCCUCAAACAACUGGUUCUCUUCAACCUCCCCCUCACGCAAGACCUUUAUACCCUCCUCAAGAGGUGUCUUAGCUAUCUUUCCUCCAAGCACAUCAGCUUCCUUCAGCAUAUCCAUUGCAUACUUCCUUUGAGACAUAACAAACCCUCCUUUGAUCUGCAUAUCUCAAUCCCCAAGAAAUACUUCAUCUCUCCCAAGUCUUUGAUAUCAAAUACUGACCUGAGAAACUCUUUAGUGGCUUUAAUCCCAGCCUUAUCACUCCCUGUGAUAAUCAAAUCAUCCACAUACACUAGAAUCACAAUGAUCCCUGAUGGCCCGACCAGUGUGAAGAGUGUGUGAUCUAGUUCAGACUUCCUGAACCCUCUCCCAUUGAGUGUUGUACUCAGCUUCCUGUACCAGGCUCUAGGAGACUGCUUCAACCCAUAUAUAGCUUUCUUCAAUCUCAAAACAUUUCCUGGCUUUACUAGAUGCUCAAGACCAGGAGGAGGAAGCAUAUAUACCUCAUCUUCUAGCUCACCUUGCAGGAAAGCAUUCUUCACAUCCAUCUGCCACAAAUCCCACUCCAAGUUUGUUGCAAUGGAUAACACAAUUCGAAUUGUGUGAAGCUUGGCCACUGGUGCAAAAGUAUCAAUGUAAUCUUCUCCAUAAGUCUGUGUAAAUCCUCUUGCAACCAGCCUGGUCUUGUGCCUAUCUAUCUCCCCAUUUGCAAGAUACUUAUGGUGAAGAUCCAUCUGCUUGAAACUGCCUUCUUCCCUCUAGGUAAUUCACUCUCAUACCAAGUGUCAUUCCUGAUCAUUGCAUCCCUUUCAUCUCCUACUGAAUCUCUCCAAACCUUGUGCUUCAUAGCUUCUUCAUAAGAUCUUGGUAUCUCAUUCUCAUCCAAGUUACACAUAAACACCAUGUGCUCUUCUGGAAACUCAGCAAAGGAACACAUGGCUUGAGAGGGAUGCUCCACAGCCUGGGCAUUGUAGUACACUCUCGUGUUUACCCAGUUGGAAGGAUCCCUCCUUAUCCUUGUGCUCCUCCGCAAGGUCUCAACCUGUUCUUCAGCCUGAACAUUCUCUUGUGCUUCCUCUCUUAAACCAGUAGGUUCUCCCUGCUCAUUUCCAGCAGGUUCUCCCUGCUCAUUUCCACCUGACUGAGCUCCACUCUCUACUUCCUGUGUCUCCUCCUGAUCAUGCUGACCUGAAUCCUCUUGGUUAUGCUCCUGCUCCCUGAUUCAGAUCCAUUCCCCCUCUCAUGAUCAAGAGGAGUUGUUCCUCCAGCUUCUCCAGCUUGAUUAGUAGGUCCUGUUCUUCCUGGUUCCUGAUCUUGGGAUAAUCCUAUCCCUAGCCUCUCCAACAACACCCUCAAUGUUGUUGCCUUCUCUGAUGGAGCUCGGGACAGAUCCUCUAGGUCUUCCCAUUUCUUCUCCUCAUAAUACCCUUUAGACUCAACAAACUUCACUUCUCUAGAUACCAUAACCCUCCUAGUUAUUGGAUCAUAACAUUUGUAGCCUUUCUGAGUGAUUGAGUACCCAAUGAACAUAGCUUUAGUACUCUUUGCUUCUAGCUUGUUCCUUCUUUCUCCGGGAAUCAUCACAUAACAUAAGCACCCAAAGACUCUCAAAUGAUCAAUGUGUGGCUUGGUCUUGUUCAAUACUUCAAAGGGAGACAGUUUCUUCAAGACACGGGUUGGCACUCUAUUGAUGAGAUAGCAAGCAGUCUGAACAGCAUCACUCCAAAACCUCUUAGGGACAUUCAUGUGGAACAUGAUUGAUCUCGCAACCUCCAUCAAAUGUCUGUUCUUCCUCUCAGCCACCCCAUUUUGUUGUGGUGUGUAAGGACAGCUAGUUUGUUGCACAAUCCCAUGCUUUGCAAGAUGACUCUUGAAAGCAUUGCUAGUGUAUUCUCCUCCAUUAUCAGACCUCAGAAUCUUCACAGUGGCAUUGUACUGAUUAGUAACAUAUGCUUGGAAGUUCAUGAAGGCUUCUAGGACUCUGUCUUUGGAGGGAAUCAUGGUGAUCCAUGUGUACUUGACUUCUCAUCAAUGAAAGUCACAAAGUACUUAUGGCUGUCUCUAGACAUACAGGGAGCUGUCCACACGUCUGAAUGCACCAGAUCAAAGCAAUUCUCAUAUCUGGUUUCUGAUGUUGGGAAGACAGUCCUACAGUGCUUUCCAAGUAUACAAGCUUCACACUCCAAGUGAUUGAACGCCAUACUUGGUAGAAUCAGUUCAAUUGCCUUGGCAUGAGGAUGUCCCAGCCUUGCAUGCCAUGUGAGAUUAUCACACCUAUCCGUUGUGCUGCUUAAACACACAGACUCCACAGGACUAGGCGCCUCAGUUGUUUGGAGAUGAUAGAGCUGAUGCUUGCUGUCUCCUCUGCCAAUAACCCUUCCAGUCUUCAAAUCCUGGAACUCAACUUCAUUUGGUCUGAAAACCACUUGACAAUCCAGAUCAACUGUAGCCUUCUUAACUGAGAUUAGAUUGGAUGUAAACUGAGGUAGGUAGAAGGCAGUGGAGUUCUUCUCAAACAGCUUGAGGUUUCCCACUCCUUCUAUUGGGAUCCUGGUACCAUUGGCUAUCAUGACACUCCCUGUUGCUGCUUUAACCUCACUGAUUAGUCUCUUGUCACUGAUCAUGUGGUGUGUUGCUCCAGAGUCAAUGAUGAUGGGUUUAGAUGUGGAUGCUUUGGCAGGAGCACCCAGACUCCGGGUCGUAGCCAAAGCAUACACAUGCUUAACCAACUCAUCCCAUUCCUUCUUUGUCACACACUCAUCUGCCCUCUUGGUAUCCAUUCCUCUCAUAUCCGCACUGUCUCCUACUGUUUCUCCCAUGUAAGCUGAGUAUGAACACUCUCCUAUAACCAUCUGCUGAAGUACAUCCUUGAUUCUCUUCAAGAUUACACUCAUCCUGCCACUUAAGUGCUCAGACUCGCUAUCCUUUCUCCAUACCCUUCUCUUCAUUAACCACUCCUUAGAAAGUUUUCUCAACCUUCCCCUCUUACAGCUUGUACCUCCCUUCCAUCUUUCUGGCUUCCUGUUCAUUUCCCACACAUCACAAGUAUAUUUAACAAGCUCACAUACCUCUUCCAUAAGGAAGCUGAAGAUCACAUCUUGCUUCCUCCUUUCUUGACUACAUCUCGGAUUUGAUGUGUGUGUCUUCACCACAUCUAGCUCUGACCACACUUCUCUCAGCCUUCCCACAAGCUGAUAACACUCAUCCUUUCCUUGUCUCAAGCCGCGGAUCACCCCUCUGUCCUCAAUGACUCUCACAAGCUUGGACUUGCCUAAAGUUGCUUCAAUCUCACUCUUUGUAGUGUUUCCUUGAACAACUUCAUUUCCCAGCUUCAGACCUCUUGUCUGACCUUCUUCAGUAGCCAUUUCCAUGAAAGGUUUCCCCUUUCCAUGACUACCAUAACCCACAGCUUUCCAAAGCUCUUUUAGCCCACCUUGACCACUCGCCAAGCCUCUCCUCUUCAGUCUUCACAGUUGACUCAGGUCUGUGCUCCAUUUCCAUGUUGAGAUGAUUUGGAUUCACCAGAACCUCUCACGCCACCAAGAUAAUGAAACCCAGGAGUUAAGAACACCAAGAACACUCAAGAACACUCAAACUUUAAGGAAAAAGGAAUCACACUCUCCCACUUUGCGCAACCUGGCUCUGAUACCAUAUACACUUUUGUGUAUUAGAGCAUGAUUCAACUAAUCCAGGAUAAUCAGAUGAAAAGAUUAAAGAGAUUAAGAGAUUUUAGUGAGAGAAUAGAGAGAGACUCAAAACUCCAUUAGAUUGAUUAAUGAGAGAGUUUACAACACAUAUAGAUUAGGGAUACAUAGUGUUGGAGAAUCACCAGGAAGUUGAAAAAUCUCAUAGGAGUUGGGGUGGAUGAAGAAGUUAUCCCGCUUUCUAAUCAGGUGAUUCCAGUUUCCCAAUUUGGGAAUAGGACAGCUUCUUCGUCGUUCCAAUCAAACCAGGAUGAAUCACUUUGUAAGAAGCUUGAUUUGGAUACAUAAAAUGGUGGAGAAUCACCAGGAAGUUGAAUAAAUCUCAUAGGAGUUGGGGUGAAGAAGUUUAUCCCACUUUCUAAUCAGGUGAUUCCAGUUUCCCAGUUUGGGAAUAGGACAGCUUCUUCGUCGUUCCAAUCAAACCAGGAUGACACUUUGUAAGAAGCUUGAUUUGGAUACAUAAAUUGGUUGGAGAAUCACCAGGAAAGUUGAAUAAAUCUCAUAGGAGUUGGGAUGAAGAAGUUAUCCCGCUUUCUAAUCAGGUGAUUCCAGUUUCCCAAUUUGGGAAUAGGACAGCUUCUUCGUCGUUCCAAUCAAACCAGGAUGAAUCACUUUGUAAGAAGCUUGAUUUGGAUACAUAAAAUGGUGGAGAAUCACCAGGAAGUUGAAUAAAUCUCAUAGGAGUUGGGGUGAAGAAGUUAUCCCACUUUCUAAUCAGGUGAUUCCAGUUUCCCAGUUUGGGAAUAGGACAGCUUCUUCGUCGUUCCAAUCAAACCAGGAUGAAUCACUUUGUCAGAAGCUUGAUUUGGAUACAUAAAAUGGUGGAGAAUCACAUUAGGAAGUUGAAUAAUCUCAUAGGAGUUGGAUGAAGAAGAUAUCCCACUUUCUAAUCAGGUGAUUCCAGUUUCCCAGUUUGGGAAUAUGACAGCUUCUUCGUCGUUCCAAACAAACCAGGAUGAAUCACUUUGUAAGAAGCUUGAUUUGGAUACAUAAAAUGUUAGAGAAUCACCAGGAAGUUGAAUAAAUCUCAUAGGAGUUGGGAUGAAGAAGUUAUCCCACUUCCUAAUCAGGUGAUUCCAGUUUCCCAGUUUGGAAUAGGACAGCUUCUUUGUCGUUCCAAUCAAACCAGGAUGAAUCACUUUGUAAUAAGCUUGAUUUGGAUAUAUAAAGUGGUGGAGAAUUACCAGGAAGUUGAAUAAAUCUCAUAGGAGUUGGGGUGAAGAAGUUAUCCCACUUUCUAAUCAGGUGAUUCCAGUUUCCCAGUUUGGGAAUAGGACAGCUUCUUCGUCGUUCCAAUCAAACCAGGAUGAAUCACUUUGUAAGAAGCUUGAUUUGGAUACAUAAAGUGGUGGAGAAUCACCAGGAAGUUGAAUAAAUCUCAUAGGAGUUGGGGUGAAGAAGUUAUCCCGCUUUCUAAUCAGGUGAUUCCAGUUUCCCAGUUUGGGAAUAGGACAGCUUCUUCGUCGUUCCAAUCAAACCAGGAUGAAUCACUUUGUAAGAAGCUUGAUUUGGAUACAUAAAGUGUGGAGAAUCACCAGGAAGUUGAAUAAAUCUCAUAGGAGUUGGGGUGAAGAAGUUAUCCCGCUUUCAAUCAGGUGAUUCCAGUUUCCCAGUUUGGGAAUAGGACAGCUUCUUCGUCGUUCCAAUCAAACCAGGAUGAAUCACUUUGUAAGAAGCUUGAUUUGGAUACAUAAAGUGUUGGAGAAUCACCAGGAAGUUGAAUAAAUCUCAUAGGAGUUGGGAUGAAGAAGUUAUCCCGCUUUCUAAUCAGGUGAUUCCAGUUUCCCAAUUUGGGAAUAGGACAGCUUCUUCGUCGUUCCAAUCAAACCAGGAUGAAUCACUUUGUAAGAAGCUUGAUUUGGAUACAUAAAAUGGUGGAGAAACAUUAGGAAGUUGAAUAAAUCUCAUAGGAGUUGGGAUGAAGAAGAUAUCCCACUUUCUAAUCAGGUGAUUCCAGUUUCCCAAUUUGGGAAUAGGACAGCUUCUUCGUCGUUCCAAUCAAACCAGGAUGAAUCACUUUGUAAGAAGCUUGAUUUGGAUACAUAAAAUGGUGGAGAAUCACCAGGAAGUUGAAUAAAUCUCAUAGGAGUUGGGGUGAAGAAGUUAUCCCGCUUUCUAAUCAGGUGAUUCCAGUUUCCCAGUUUGGGAAUAGGACAGCUUCUUCGUCGUUCCAAUCAAACCAGGAUGAAUCACUUUGUAAGAAGCUUGAUUUGGAUACAUAAAAUGGUGGAGAAACAUUAGGAAGUUGAAUAAAUCUCAUAGGAGUUGGGAUGAAGAAGAUAUCCCACUUUCUAAUCAGGUGAUUCCAGUUUCCCAGUUUGGGAAUAGGACAGCUUCUUCGUCGUUCCAAUCAAACCAGGAUGAAUCACUUUGUAAGAAGCUUGAUUUGGAUACAUAAAGUGUUGGAGAAUCACCAGGAAGUUGAAUAAAUCUCAUAGGAGUUGGGAUGAAGAAGUUAUCCCACUUUCUAAUCAGGUGAUUCCAGUUUCCCAGUUUGGGAAUAGGACAGCUUCUUCGUCGUUCCAAUCAAACCAGGAUGAAUCACUUUGUAAGAAGCUUGAUUUGGAUACAUAAAAUGGUGGAGAAUCACCAGGAAGUUGAAUAAAUCUCAUAGGAGUUCGGGUGAAGAAGUUAUCCCACUUUCUAAUCAGGUGAUUCCAGUUUCCCAGUUUGGGAAUAGGACAGCUUCUUCGUCGUUCCAAUCAAACCAGGAUGAAUCACUUUGUGAGAAGCUUGAUUUGGAUACAUAAAAUGGUGGAGAAUCACCAGGAAGUUGAAUAAAUCUCAUAGGAGUUGGGAUGAAGAAGUUAUCCCACUUUCAAAUCAGGUGAUUCCAGUUUCCCAGUUUGGGAAUAGGACAGCUUCUUCGUCGUUCCAAUCAAACCAGGAUGAAUCACUUUGUAAGAAGCUUGAUUUGGAUACAUAAAGUGUUGGAGAAUCACCAGGAAGUUGAAUAAAUUAUGAGAUUAGAGAGUAGAAUAGGUAUUGAGAGAUUAAGAGAGAUUUGGUAAGAGAUUAAGAGAGGUUUAGAAGAGAUUGUGAGAGAAAUGGGGAGAUUAAGUAUGAUCCAUGAUGAACAAGAGAGAGAGACUAGAGAGAGAGUAACAUAACUCGCAUACUUUAAUUAAUGAGAGAGUGUUUACAAUAUAUAGGAGGUGAUACUAGGGUUUAAGAAGAGACUAAGCAUGUGAGGUCAAGUCUAAGGGAGCCUUUAAUUUGAACCGGACCAAUGAGCCUCUCCACACGCGUGGUCACUAUGCUAAAAGUGAACCUUAUCCUUCCAGCCUGUGCCAGCCUGUAGAGACGCUCUUCCUCUAUCCAUAAACGGUCAUAUGCCUUCUUUGGUCAAGGCAAAACAUGAUCAGACCGUGAACUUCUUCUCGCGGUAACAUUUCUUUACCGCUUGGUCGAUACCGUCUGUACGGCCGUACGGCCAUGGUACGGACCUGUACGGACCGGUACGGACGGUUCUCCCUAAGGCCAAUCCUUCUCCUCUUCUCCACAUCACAACCUCUUCAACCCUGAACAACUCUCCUCAUAUUCCUCAGCUCAUCUCAACACUCCCCCUCAAGCUUGACCAUGUGGAACAAGUCAAGCUUGGAAGGAUCAUGAGCUCCUCCUCAUUAAAAACCUCAUCAAAGAAAACCCAUUGGGACAAAACUCUGAUGAGGGAAAAAGAGUAAGGACCUCAUGAUCAGGAGAGUGUAUAGAUCAGCCCUUAGGCGAAAGAUCAAGGAGUCCCAACCUUAUGUGAAUUGACUCCAUUGUCUUUUGCCUAGCCGCCUUAGUGAAUACAUCUGCCAACUGAUCCUCACUCCUUGUGUAGCACGGCAGUAUUACUCCCAAGACUAUCAUCUGCCUCACUUUAUGACAGUCCACUUCAAUGUGCUUGUUCUUUCAUGGAACACCGAGUUUGUGGCUAUGUGAAUGGCUGCUUGAUUGUCACAGUGCAUGGUCAUUGGUGUUGCUUGCUCAAUCUCCAAGUGCUUCAGUAUUCCUUUAAUCCAUACCAACUCAUUUGUGAGUUUAGCAUUGCUCUAUACUCAGCCUCGGCACUUGAGCAUGACACCACCUUCUGCUUCUUACUCUUCCAAGUAACCAUGUUUCCACCAAUGAAUGUGCAAUAGCCGGUUGUAGAUCUUCUAUCUGUUCUGUCUCCAGCCCAAUCUGCAUCACAAUAUCCCACUGCUUCAGUACUCCCGUUACAACCCAUCCAUAUACCAAGCCCUUGAGUUCCAUUCAGAUACAUGAGAACUCUUUCUACCAUGCGCCAGUGAUGCUCUCUUGGAGCUUGCAUAUGCUGACUCACUUGGUUCACAGCAAAACAGAUGUCUGGCCUAGUGAUGGUUAGAUAGAUCAGCUUCCCCACAAGCUUCCUGUAUAGCUUUGGAUCAUGAAAUAGCUUACUAUCUUCUAGCUCCCCCUCACGUGGAGCUUUAUACCCAUCCUCCAUGGGCAUCUUGGCUGUCUUUCCACCAUACGCACCAGCCUCCUUCAAUAGAUCCAAGAUAUACUUCCUUUGUGAGAUGAACAACCCUUCUUCUGAUCUGCACAGCUCAAUUCCAAGGAAGUACUUCAUUUCUCCCAAGUCUUUGAUGUCAAACACAGAUUUCAGAAACUCCUUGGUCUCCUUGAUUUCAACCUUAUCACUGCCUGUGAUAACUAUGUCAUCCACAUAUACAAGAAGCACAACAAUGCCAGCAGGUGUCGUAAGAGUGAAGAGAGUGUGAUCAAGCUCUGAUUUCCUGAAACCUCUUCCAUUUAGAGUUGUGCUCAGCUUGUGAUACCAUGCCCUUGGUGAUUGCUUCAACCCAUAGAUGGCCUUCUUCAGUCUCAGCACAUUCCCUGGUUUCACCAUCCCUUCUAGGCCCGGAGGUGGUAGCAUGUAAACUUCAUCUUCUAACUCUCCUUGGAGAAAUGCAUUCUUAACAUCCAUCUGCCAAAGAUCCCACCCAAGGUUAGUAGCCACUGAUAGGACUAUUCGAAUGGUGUGUAGCUUUGCAACUGGAGCAAAUGUAUCAAUGUAGUCUUCUCCAUAAGUCUGAGUGAACCCUCUUGCUACCAGUCUAGUCUUCUUCCUCUCAAUCGACCCAUCAGCCUUGUACUUGACUGUAAAGAUCCAUCUACUAGACACAGCCUUCUUCCCUUUUGGUAGUUCACUCUCAUACCAUGUGUCAUUCUUUAUCAUAGCUCCUGCCUCAGCUCCUACUGAUUCCUUCCAUUCCUUAUCUUCCAUUGCCUCUUCAUAGCUUCUUGGAAUGUGAUUCUUAUCUAAGUUUACCAUAAAUGCACAAUGUGCUUCUGGAUAUUGAGCAAAGGAACACACAGCCUGAGUAGGAUGCUUCACAGCUUGGGCAUUGUAGUACACUCUCGUGUUUACCCAACUGGAAGGAUCCUUCCUCAGCCUUGUACUCCUUCUCAACACUGGCCCUUCUUGUGCCAUCUCUUGUUCUUCUUCUACUUGUGGAGUCACUGCUUCAGUCUGUUCUUCAGCUUCAGCUCUAGCCUCUCCUUGUCUCUGAUCUUCUUCAUUCAGUUCUCCCCUUGCUGAUCCUUCUCCACUUUGGACAGGAGAAUCAGUUCCUCUGUUUCCUAGCUCACCUGCCUCUUCUAAGCCUUGGUCCUCUAGUUCAGAUACUGAUUCACUUCCCCCCUCAUGUGCAAAGUGGGAUGGUUCUUCUGCUGCAGCUGGAGUAGGUUCUGGACGCCUACUCUGAUCCUGGGACACUCCAAUUCCGAGCCCCUCUAGGAUGUUUCUCAAGCAAGCAGCUCUUUCUGAUGGCUGGGAGAGAUCCUCCAAGUCUUCCCAUGUCUGCUCAUCAUAGUAUCCUUUGUCUUCCAUGAAUCUGACAUCCCUUGACACUAGGACUCUCCUAGCUGUAGGAUCAUAGCAUUUGUAUCCCUUCUGUGAAGUGGAAUACCCAAUCAUCAUAGCCUUGGUGCUCUUUGCUUCUAGUUUGUUUCUCUGCUCGCCUGGUACAAGAACAUAACACACGCAUCCAAAGGUCCUCAGGUGAUCCAAGACUGGCCUGCUCUUGUUGAGUACCUCAAAUGGAGAUUGAUCUGCCAAGAUCCUGGUUGGUAUCCUGUUGAUCAGGUAGCACGCAGUCAUCACAGCAUCACUCCAAUACCUCUUGGGAACCCCUUUGUGGAACAUCAUGGACCGGGACACCUCCAUGAGAUGUCUGUUCUUCCUUUCCGCAACUCCAUUCUGCUGUGGAGUGUAUGGGCAGCUAGUCUGGUGAAGAAUCCCAUGUUGAGCAAGGUGAUCACGAAAUGCAUGCCCAGUAUACUCCCCACCAUUAUCAGACCUGAAAAUCUUAAUCUUGGCAUGAUAUUGGUUAGUCACAUAGGCUUGAAAAUUUUUAAAUGCAUCAAGGACCCUAUCUUUAGUUUUAAUCAAUGUUAACCAGGUGUAUUUGGAUUUUUCAUCAAUGAAUGUGACAUAAUACUUGUAAUCAUCCCUAGAUAAGCAAGGUGCCGUCCAAACAUCAGAGUGAAUUAAAUCAAAGCAGUUUGCAUAAAGAGUAGAUGAUCUCUGAAAAACAGUCUUACAAUGUUUGCCCAAAAUACAUGCCUCACAAUCAUUAUUUUUAAACAUGACACCUGGUAACAUAAUGCUUAAGGCCCUAACAUGUGGAUGUCCUAGCCUAGCAUGCCACAGAGCAUCAGUACUUAAGGAAGAAACAGAACUAAACGAGAAACAAGAACUAGAAAUAGGUGCAAGGUCUUCAAUCAUGUAAAGAUCCCCCUUGGUUGCUCCUUGCCCAAUCAACUUACUGCUCUUAAUAUCCUGAAACUUAACAUCAUUAGGACUGAAAAUAACAUUGCAUUGAAGAUCAGUAGUGCAUUUCUUAACUGAUAAAAGAUUAGAGGUGAACUCAGGCAUGUAAAAAGCUUUUGAAUCCUUAUUAAACAAGUUCAGUUUACCAAUGCCCCUAAUGGGAAUUCUAUCUCCAUUUGCAAUCAUAACAUGUCCAAGGGCAGGUUCUAUGUCUUUUAUCAGAUUGUUAUCACUAAUCAUGUGAUGAGAUGCACCAGAGUCAAUUAUCAAUGGUUUAUGCAAGCUCCUAGCAGUCUUGGUUCUAGAUGUUUCAUUUUCAGCUUUCAGGCUCUUAACUACUCCUAACAAUCUAUCAGUUAUGCUAGUAUGAGCAGUGGCAGUACAUGAGAUUUUAAAAAUGUCUAACAGUUUAUCAGAGAUACUAGGUAAUGUAUGAGCAGAGUAUGAGUAUCCAAGAGUGUUGCCUAGCAUUUUACCAGACUCCUUGAGGGCUCGGAUGAAAGCCUCAAAGUCAGCCUUGGUGAUCACCUCCUGAGAAGUUAGAGCUCUGCCUUCACUUUCACCCGCCUUGACAUUUGGACUAGCCCCUGAUGAGCCGGCACCACUUGCUUCAGCAGAAAGGUGAGCCUUAGCUUCUCUAUCCUUGUUGAACUUGCUAGGCCUGAGGUGUGGAUGUAGGAUCCAGCACUGACUCUUCUUAUGCCCCUGCCGCUUGCAAUGCUCACAGCUUCCCUCAUACUUCUCAUACUUCCUUCCAUCUCCACGGUACGCUGCCUUGUUUGCUUGCGCCUCUUCUGCUUUAUGAGCCGUGGACAUUCCCUUCUUGCCUCCAAACAACCCAAGAGAGCCUUCCUCCUUCUGAAGUUGAGCGCAUACCUCCUCCAUGGAUGGGAGAGUAGGUGAUCUCAGGAUAUGCUUGAUCACAUCCUGGUAGCUUUCAUCUAGAGUCAUCAAUAGCCCAAACACCUGAUCUUGCUCUCUCCUCUCAAUGAGCGAUUCCUCAUCAGUUGUGUUGGGUCUAAGACUCUCAAGUUCGGACCACAAAGCUCCAAACUUCCCCAUGUGCUUGGUGAGAUCUUCUCCAUCUUGCCUCAAGACACUGAUGGUUUGCUUCAGAUCAAACACCCGGCUUAUGUUGGACUUGUUUCCAUACCUCUUAUGGAGCAUGUCCCAAAGGCGCUUAGGAGUCUCAAAGUGCACGUAAGCUUCAAGUAUGGGGAGCUCCAGGGAGGCAUGGAGCACAGACAGCACCAUCAAAUCCUCUUGGACCCAUCUCUUUGCUUCAGCUACCGCAAGAGUCUUCCCGUCGCCUUCUUCUUCAUCUUCUUUGGCCACUGGCUCCGGACCAUCAUCUGUGAUGUGGUUCCACAACCCUAGCCUUCCAAUGGUAGUCCUCACCAACUGGGACCACAUCAAGUAGUUCGAGCCUCCCUUCAGUGCAACCGGAACCGUCACCAGUUUGCUAAAGUUGGUCGUCUCCAUCUCCUCUUCUUUAACACACAAGAACAAACUCGCAAAUGUAAAGAAAGGAACAAGGAUCUCUCAAUACCAAAGCCAACCUGGCUCUGAUACCAUAUGAGAUUAGAGAGUAGAAUAGGUAUUGAGAGAUUAAGAGAGAUUUGGUAAGAGAUUAAGAGAGGUUUAGAAGAGAUUGUGAGAGAAAUGGGGAGAUUAAGUAUGAUCCAUGAUGAACAAGAGAGAGAGACUAGAGAGAGAGUAACAUAACUCGCAUACUUUAAUUAAUGAGAGAGUGUUUACAAUAUAUAGGAGGUGAUACUAGGGUUUAAGAAGAGACUAAGCAUGUGAGGUCAAGUCUAAGGGAGCCUUUAAUUUGAACCGGACCAAUGAGCCUCUCCACACGCGUGGUCACUAUGCUAAAAGUGAACCUUAUCCUUCCAGCCUGUGCCAGCCUGUAGAGACGCUCUUCCUCUAUCCAUAAACGGUCAUAUGCCUUCUUUGGUCAAGGCAAAACAUGAUCAGACCGUGAACUUCUUCUCGCGGUAACAUUUCUUUACCGCUUGGUCGAUACCGUCUGUACGGCCGUACGGCCAUGGUACGGACCUGUACGGACCGGUACGGACGGUUCUCCCUAAGGCCAAUCCUUCUCCUCUUCUCCACAUCACAACCUCUUCAACCCUGAACAACUCUCCUCAUAUUCCUCAGCUCAUCUCAACAUAAAUCUCAUAGGAGUUGGGGUGAAGAAGUUAUCCCGCUUUCUAAUCAGGUGAUUCCAGUUUCCCAGUUUGGGAAUAGGACAGCUUCUUCGUCGUUCCAAUCAAACCAGGAUGAAUCACUUUGUAAGAAGCUUGAUUUGGAUACAUAAAGUGGUGGAGAAUCACCAGGAAGUUGAAUAAAUCUCAUAGGAGUUGGGGUGAAGAAGUUAUCCCACUUUCUAAUCAGGUGAUUCCAGUUUCCCAGUUUGGGAAUAGGACAGCUUCUUCGUCGUUCCAAUCAAACCAGGAUGAAUCACUUUGUAAGAAGCUUGAUUUGGAUACAUAAAGUGUUGGAGAAUCACCAGGAAGUUGAAUAAAUCUCAUAGGAGUUGGGAUGAAGAAGUUAUCCCGCUUUCUAAUCAGGUGAUUCCAGUUUCCCAAUUUGGGAAUAGGACAGCUUCUUCGUCGUUCCAAUCAAACCAGGAUGAAUCACUUUGUAAGAAGCUUGAUUUGGAUACAUAAAAUGGUGGAGAAUCACCAGGAAGUUGAAUAAAUCUCAUAGGAGUCGGGGUGAAGAAGUUAUCCCACUUUCUAAUCAGGUGAUUCCAGUUUCCCAGUUUGGGAAUAGGACAGCUUCUUCGUCGUUCCAAUCAAACCAGGAUGAAUCACUUUGUCAGAAGCUUGAUUUGGAUACAUAAAAUGGUGGAGAAACAUUAGGAAGUUGAAUAAAUCUCAUAGGAGUUGGGAUGAAGAAGUUAUCCCACUUUCUAAUCAGGUGAUUCCAGUUUCCCAGUUUGGGAAUAGGACAGCUUCUUCGUCGUUCCAAUCAAGCCAGGAUGAAUCACUUUGUAAGAAGCUUGAUUUGGAUACAUAAACUGUUGGAGAAUCACCAGGAAGUUGAAUAAAUCUCCUAGGAGUUGGGAUGAAGAAGUUAUCCCACUUUCUAAUCAGGUGAUUCCAGUUUCCCAGUUUGGGAAUAGGACAGCUUCUUCGUCGUUCCAAUCAAACAAGGAUGAAUCACUUUGUAAGAAGCUUGAUUUGGAUACAUAAAGUGUUGGAGAAUCACCAGGAAGUUGAAUAAAUCUCAUAGGAGUUGGGGUGAAGAAGUUAUCCCGCUUUCUAAUCAGGUGAUUCCAGUUUCCCAAUUUGGGAAUAGGACAGCUUCUUCGUCGUUCCAAUCAAACCAGGAUGAAUCACUUUGUAAGAAGCUUGAUUUGGAUACAUAAAAUGGUGGAGAAUCACCAGGAAGUUGAAUAAAUCUCAUAGGAGUUGGGGUGAAGAAGUUAUCCCACUUUCUAAUCAGGUGAUUCCAGUUUCCCAGUUUGGGAAUAGGACAGCUUCUUCGUCGUUCCAAUCAAACCAGGAUGAAUCACUUUGUAAGAAGCUUGAUUUGGAUACAUAAAGUGUUGGAGAAUCACCAGGAAGUUGAAUAAAUCUCAUAGGAGUUGGGAUGAAGAAGUUAUCCCGCUUUCUAAUCAGGUGAUUCCAGUUUCCCAAUUUGGGAAUAGGACAGCUUCUUCGUCGUUCCAAUCAAACCAGGAUGAAUCACUUUGUAAGAAGCUUGAUUUGGAUACAUAAAAUGGUGGAGAAUCACCAGGAAGUUGAAUAAAUCUCAUAGGAGUCGGGGUGAAGAAGUUGAUACAAGCCUAAGCUAACAAAGGCUAGAUCACAAGGCAACAAGAGUUGUCAAGCUUGAAUGGAUCGAUUGUCGCCACAAAGGGUUGCGGAAGUAUCCCUUUGAUAAGACCAGAAGCCUGCGCCAAUGUGAAUCCACACAAAGACAGAGACCUACACUUGUAUCCUAGAAUGAAUCCACAAACUAAAGAGACAAGCAAACGAACAAGAAAUCUAAAGGAAUCCACCUAAAGACUAAUUGAACAAAACAAAGACAAACUUUGUAAACUGAAUAAUACUUUAUUAAUUUCGUGCAAGGGGUGAUUUACAAAUGAGACUUAGCUCUGUUUAAAUAGAAAAGAACACAAAUGCCUAAAAGAAUAACUUGGAAAGAAAUAAUAAGUGAAAAACUAGCCGUUGGACUUAGUUGGUGCAGAAUCUGUCCAUGUAUGGAAGUUGUAUUCUCUCCUUGUAUCUUGUGAGUUUGGGCAGAAAUAAAUGCAUCCGUGGGAUCUCCUUUGAUGUCUGGAUAGUCUCUAAGUCGUGCCUGAACAGAAGGGGAAAGAGCCGUUGGUCUUCAAUAACUCCAAGUGUGAAUGCAUCCAUGUAAGGUAAGUUGACAAAUAAGGGAUUCAUCUUGAUCAUGUGGCUGCUGGUGCAUGGUAGAAACUCUCCCACUGCUCUUAGAUGUAAUGAAUAAUCUCCUGGUUUCCACACGUGAGUUUGAGUUGCACACUCCUUAAGCAAAGAAUUACUUUCCUUAAUUAGAACCAAUUCGGAUGUAGUGUAGAUAGUCUGACUUGUAACUGGCAUAUCUCCUAAACCAUUACUCUUUUUGGUAUGAAACCAAUUCGCUGCGUGCUCUGGUUGAGUUGAGAAUCUAUAGAAACUGGUUUCACGGUUAAAUUCCUUAUGGUUGCAAAGAUAUCCUUCUUUGAGUGCACCUAUGUCGCUGCUGGCUCCAAUGUAGCUUGUAUGGUUGAUCUCAUGAGUUGGUGGUCUAGCUACUGACUUUAGGUCCUCAUCAUUCCCUCCCUCUUCAAAAGGUUUUGUCCUCAAAACCAAUUUACCUGCACCAAGAUAGAGCAAGUUAGGUUUCAUUCUAAUUUGGGAGGCUAGGGUCUUACCUUGGUAUAUGCACGGUUUUGUGAUGCAUUGUCCAACUGGUGGUUCUUCUUUGAUCAGUAGGGAAGCUAUGCCCCCUUUCCAUGGUCGGUCUAUGAUUUCCCUUGGAAGGAUCGUGGUCUCCUUUUCGAAAUCUCCUAUUUCACAAUUGGUUUCUCCAUUGACCACUGCUUGGGUGUAAGGUUGUGAGUUUGGUUCUGGAUGCUUCUCCAUUGUACCUAUAUCUGAAUCAUCACUUAUGGGCAAGAGCAAGUGUUUCAUACUUGAAGUGGACGAUUCAAAAAAAUAAUAUUGAGUAAGAUUUAGAGCUUCACUUACCUGGUUAUCUUGCAUUGAUUCAGCUUUGGUAUUUACUACCUCUAAAGCAUGAUCAGCUGGUGUAGAGGUCUCUAGGGUAGAUUGCUCAUUAUUCUGUUGUUGUUUAGCUUCUGUACGUGUCUCCUCAUUACCUAGACCUUUAUCAACAUUCUUAUCAAGUGUUGGACUUGAUUGCGCAGCAGGGUUGGGUUCUUGUUCCUUGAUUUCUAUGUUAGUACCUGAAAUACUUUCAACCUUUUGGGCGCUAGACAAGUGUGUUAAGACAGUCAUGGAAUUACUAGAAACAGAAUUAGAUCCAGCUUUAAUCAAGUUGAUAAGAUCAUCAAACUUUUUAUCUAUUCUAGUAAAGGAAUCACUUACCUCCAAGUUGGUUUCUCUUGCUUCACGUAGUGCCAUCUUCACUGCUCGUUUUGUGGGGCAAUCUUUUGCAAGAUGACCUUGGCCUUGACACCUAUAACAAAUAACCUCAGGUGGUUUUAAAGAUUUAGAGUACUCACCUUGGUUGUGCUUUACAUGAGGUGUAUGCACUGGUUUUGAGCUUUGCCUCUGGUUUGCCGGCUGCAAGACUUGGGGUUGUACUACUCUCUUUGUAGACACCUUCUGAGCGUGUUGUGUAGGGAUGUAAGGUGCAAAUCUAUCCCUCAUGAUCCCUUUGAAUUGCUCCCAAGUGCGUAUAGGAGGCUCUUGAAAUUGUUCCCUAUACUUCUCUUCUCUUUUCCAAUACCGUUGAGCCUUUUCAGUGAGCUGUCCUAGACCAUAGGACAAGUAUUCUCCUUUUGGAAUGGAGUUGCACUUGAAGUACCUUUCCAUGUCCUCUUCCCACUGAAGAUAGUUUCUAGGGUCUUCACCUUUUCCUGAAAACUUAUACAAACGAAACUGAUCAUAUGAAUUAUAGUGAGAAGUUAAAGUUACCUCACGCUCAUGUAGUUGUCUCGGUUUCAGUUUAACAAAACGUUUAGGACAGGUUCUAGGGGGUAAUCUCCUCAUCUCGAAAUGUUCAUACAUCAGCUCUUUGACAUAUUCCCAGUGUGGGGUUGGUUCCUUGAAGUAGAUGCGACAUUCUUCCUCUUGAAGCCACCAUUGGUAAGCUUCUCCUACAAGGGUGUCUAAGGCUAUGGACAGCUUCUUAUGUUCAGGAACUUUGUACUCCCAAAAAUAAUUUUCCAUGUCUUCCUCCCAUCUGGAGUAGUUCUCUUUUCCUGAAAAAGACACAAGUGUUUUGGUGAAAACUGUUGGACUAUAGUCAUAAAAUUUAUCAGUAAAUUUUAACCAAGGUUUAGAAUAGCUCUUGUUGAUGGUAUGGUUCUUGUAGUGGUCUUGUGGCUUGGAAUCAAGCUCCCCACGACAUGGUCCUUCCUCAUAUCCAUCUUCAGCCCUUGACUCUCUACACUGGUCGUCUUCUUCAGAGCCAUCUCCAUAGUUUUGAUCUUCCCAUGAGUAUCCCGGUUCUUCACCCAAAUCAACUUCAGAAAUAUUGUACUCAUCAGCUUCUUCUUCAGAGCCAUCUCCAUAGUUUUGAUCUUCCCAUGAGUAUCCCGGUUCUUCACCCCAAUCAACUUCAUUAAUAUUGUACUCAUCAGCUUCUUCUUCAGUCGCCAUGUCUACCAAGUUAAGGAUUAAAUAUCUCAAGAAGAAGAUGAAAGUAUUCUGAAUCAAGUGAUUAAACAAGAAAACGUGACUAGCAAAGUUAAAGGAAAGAAGAAGAAACUAAACACUAAACAAAAUGGGCAAUUUCUGAUUUCCUCUCUUUUUUUUUUUUUUUAAUAAAGUUUGCAAGUAAACAAAAAUCUUUUGGAAAGGAAUAAGUUUCGGUUGACCAGAAGAAGGAAAACUUUCAAAAACUCCACCAAAAUUUGGAAACUCGGAUAUUAACUUAAUUCUAACAGCUUUUAUGUUUUUUUUUUUUUUUUUUUUAAGAUAUGGAUCUAAGAAACAAUUAAAUCGACAGGAUGAAGAACAAAUGAAGAACACAACUUUUUAUGGGUUUUAAUAUUUUUGACAGAACUAAAGAACUAAAUGCAACAAAUGCAACAAAUGACAAACAAUUUUAUUUUUAUGAUUUUAUGAAAUAGAAACAAGAUAAACAAGAUGCAACAGAAACAAAUGUGACUUUUUAUAGGUUUUAUAUGAUUAUGCAAAACAAAACUAAAUGAAAAACAAAAUGCAAAACAAAAUUAAAAGAGAUAAGGGUUGGAUGAACACAACCUGGGGAUAGGAGCUUUAAGCUCUGAUACCAAAAAUGAUACAAGCCUAAGCUAACAAAGGCUAGAUCACAAGGCAACAAGAGUUGUCAAGCUUGAAUGGAUCGAUUGUCGCCACAAAGGGUUGCGGAAGUAUCCCUUUGAUAAGACCAGAAGCCUGCGCCAAUGUGAAUCCACACAAAGACAGAGACCUACACUUGUAUCCUAGAAUGAAUCCACAAACUAAAGAGACAAGCAAACGAACAAGAAAUCUAAAGGAAUCCACCUAAAGACUAAUUGAACAAAACAAAGACAAACUUUGUAAACUGAAUAAUACUUUAUUAAUUUCGUGCAAGGGGUGAUUUACAAAUGAGACUUAGCUCUGUUUAAAUAGAAAAGAACACAAAUGCCUAAAAGAAUAACUUGGAAAGAAAUAAUAAGUGAAAAACUAGCCGUUGGACUUAGUUGGUGCAGAAUCUGUCCAUGUAUGGAAGUUGUAUUCUCUCCUUGUAUCUUGUGAGUUUGGGCAGAUAUAAAUGCAUCCGUGGGAUCUCCUUUGAUGUCUGGAUAGUCUCUAAGUCGUGCCUGAACAGAAGGGGAAAGAGCCGUUGGUCUUCAAUAACUCCAAGUGUGAAUGCAUCCAUGUAAGGUAAGUUGACAAAUAAGGGAUUCAUCUUGAUCAUGUGGCUGCUGGUGUAAUGAACUCCUAGGAUGCUUCUUUGGAUUGAAUUGGAUAGAUCCUUGUAUAAACGAAUCAGAGACUCAAGUUUAUCAAGGUGAUGGAUCGUUUGGUGACACAAAGAGUUGCGGAAUGGCUCCUUGAUACUCCUAGAUGACUAGCUUGGAUAUUACACACCAAAAUAGACACCCUUAGUUGUUGGAUAUGACACACCAACGAGAUUCACUCAAGACUUGAUGAGAAGUAAAGAGAGAACAAAGAAAUCUGAUAGAUUUGUAGAAAAAGGAUUGUGCUUAAAAGAGAGAACGCAAACACACUUAUAUAGAGAAGUAUGGAACAGGCUCCAUAUUCUCGAGAUCAUUAAAGGGAACAGGCUCCCUUGGAACUACAACAAAGACUAAAGACUUAUUCAAAUUCGAAAAGAGUUUUUAAAACAUGAAAUAAAAACCAUAGUUUAAAAAUGACCUAAGGUGGAACCGUGAUACAUCAUCUAAGGUUUAUGUAAGUAACUUGUGGCCUCAUUAAAAACCUUCCUUUGGAAAACCCAAUGGGACAAAACCAAAGGCUAGGAAAAGAGCACACACAAGCACUUGCUUAGAUGAUGAUCAGUUUGAAACCAUUGCUUGAAUGGUGAUAAGAGUGUCUUGAUUGAUCAAACGUCCAUCAAGACCGUCUUCUUGCUUCCAUGAGAUCAUAAGUAGACUUCCAACAGCUUCUUUGAGUCUUCUAGCUUUGGCGCGAGUGAUGGGACCUGGUGGAAUGACUAAGGCAUCAUCUUCUUCCCUUGAUUGGUCUUUGAACUCUUUAUCUCCAUCCUUGUGCCGGUCCAUGAUCAUAUCAUCCCCUCCCUCUUGAAAAGGAUUUGUCCUCAAAUCUGGCUCAUCUGCAAAAUAAGGAACCAAGUCAGUGAUAUUAAAACUAUUGCUCACAUCAUACCUUCCUUGGAGAUCCAGCUUGUAAGCAUUGUUGCCGAUUUUCUUUAUGAUCUCAAAUGGUCCAUCAAUCCUUGGCAUGAGCUUGGAUUUCCUCUCAUUAGGAAAUCUUUCUUUCCUUAGGUGAAUCCAGACUUGAUCACCCACUUUAAAGACUCUUUCACGCCUCCCCUUGUUUGCUUGUUUGGCAUAUUGCUUAGUCUUCUCUUCUAUGUUGCGCCUUGCUUGUUCAUGAAGUUGUUGUACCUUCUCUGCCUUCUUCUUGCCAUCAAGACUAACUCUUUCACACUCAGGUAAAGGUAUUAGAUCCAAAGGAGAGAUGGGAUUGAACCCAUAAACAAUUUCAAAUGGAGAAAACUUAGUAGCAGAAUGCACAGCAUGAUUAUAUGCAAAUUCACAAUGAGGCAAACAAUCUUCCCAUGAUUUCAAGUUCUUCUUUAUAAUUGCACGCAAGAGUGUACCAAGAGUUCUAUUAACUACUUCAGUCUGACCAUCAGUUUGUGGGUGACAAGUAGUAGAAAAUAAUAGCUUAGUGCCUAGUUUAGACCAGAGAGUUUUCCAAAAGUAGCUUAGGAACUUAGUAUCUCUAUCAGAUACAAUAGUCUUAGGCAUGCCAUGUAAACGCACAAUCUCCUUAAAGAACAAGUUAGCUACAUGCAAUGCAUCAUCAGUUUUAUGACAAGCAAUGAAGUGUGCCAUCUUAGAAAAUCUAUCAACUACCACAAAGAUUGAAUCUUUACCAGUACGAGUUCUAGGCAAUCCAACAAUGAAGUCCAUAGAGAUAUCAUUCCAAGGAUGAUAAGGGAUGGGUAAAGGCGUGUACAAACCAUGGUUUUGGACUUUGGACUUAGCUUGUUUACAAGUUGCACACCUUUCACAGAGUCUUUCCACAUCUCUUUUCAUCCGCGGCCAGUAGAAGUGAUCCUGCAAGGUCUUGAGAGUUUUUGCGACACCAAAAUGUCCCAUGAGGCUUCCUCCAUGAGAUUCCCUAACAAAUAAAUCUCUCAAAGAACAAUUAGGCACACAAAGUCUAUUAUCAUAGAAAAGAAAUCCAUCCUGCCUAAAGUAAUGUCCAGCAGCAAAUUUCUCACAAGACUUAUAAGCAUCUUUAAAUUCAGGAUCAUUCUCAUACAUUACUUUAAUCUGCUCAAAUCCUAAUAGCUUAACAUCAAGAGUGUUCAAGAGAACAUACCUUCUGGAUAGUGCAUCAGCAACUAUGUUUUCCUUACCUUGUUUAUACUUGAUGACAUAAGGAAAUGUCUCAAUGAACUCAACCCACCUUGCGUGUCUCUUGCUGAGUUUGUUUUGGCUUUUAAGGUACUUGAGAGACUCAUGAUCAGUGUGAAUGACAAACUCCUUGGGCCAUAGGUAAUGCUGCCAUGUCUGCAAAGCCCUCACCAAAGCGUAGAGUUCCUUGUCAUAAGUAGCAUAGUUGAGAGUCGCUCCUCCUAGUUUCUCACUGAAAUAUGCUAUGGGUCUCUUCUCCUGCAUAAGAACAGCACCAAUUCCAAUUCCUGAAGCAUCACAUUCAAUUUCAAAAGUUUUAUUGAAAUCAGGAAGUAUAAGAAGAGGGGCAUUAGUAAGCUUCUCUUUUAGGCAUUGAAAGGCAAGUUCUUGUGCUUCUCCCCAUUUGAAUCCAACUUCUUUCUUGAUCACCUCAGUCAAUGGAGCGGCUAUGGUGCUAAAAUCUUUUACAAACCGUCGGUAGAAGCCAGCUAAUCCAUGGAAGCUUCGCACUUCACUGAUGGUUUUAGGAAUCGGCCACUCUUGUAUUGCUUUCACCUUCUCUUGAUCUACCUUUACUCCAUCUGCACUCACAACAAAGCCUAGAAAAACCAAGUGAUCCGUUCCAAAAGUACACUUCUUAAGGUUAGCAAAAAGAGAUUCCUUUCUAAGCACAUCAAGAACAGCUCUAAGAUGUCCUAUAUGAUCAUUAAAGCUCUUACUGUAUACAAGGAUGUCAUCAAAGUAUACCACAACAAAUAUGCCAAUGAAUGAUCUAAGAACAUGAUUCAUUAAUCUCAUGAAUGUACUAGGUGCAUUGGUUAAUCCAAAUGGCAUGACUAACCACUCAUAAAGACCAUGUUUAGUUUUGAAUGCAGUUUUCCAUUCAUCUCCUUCUUUCAUCCUAAUCUGAUGGUAUCCACUUUUCAAAUCAAUCUUAGAAAAUAUGCAGGAACCAUGCAAUUCAUCAAGCAUAUCAUCUAAUCUAGGAAUAGGAUGGCGAUACUUUACAGUGAUGUUGUUGAUGGCUCUACAAUCAACACACAUGCGCCAGCUUCCAUCUUUCUUAGGCACAAGAAGCACUGGUACUGCACAUGGGCUCAUGCUCUCACGGAUAUGCCCCUUUGCCAUCAACUCCUCAACUUGUUUUUGCAGUUCUUUAGUCUCCACGGGAUUAGUCCUAUAAGCUGGCCUAUUUGGAAGUGUAGAACCAGGAACAAAAUCAAUCUGAUGCUCAAUCCCUCUAAGAGGUGGAAGACCAAUUGGAUUAUCUUCAGGAAAUACAUCUUCAAAUUCCUGUAAAAGACACUUAAUUUCACUCGGAUAUACCGGUGUUGGGUCAGUAACAUUCAAAAGAGACUCUUUAAAGAUAAGUAAAAGAAUAGAUUGAUGAGCAUUGAGAGUUCUUUUGAUUUCACCCGAUUUGGCAUAGAGACUAUGCUGCUUCUUUGAUUCAGGUUUGAGGUCUAUUUCUUUCUUCUUUUGUAGCUGCAGUUGAUCUUGAUGAACUUCCUUUGGUGUUAGAGGAACCAGCACAGUCUUCUUUCCUUUGAACUCAAACGUGUGCUUGUUGGUGUAGCCAUCAUGUAUCACUCGUCUAUCUGAUUGCCAUGGCCGACCAAGAAGGAUAUGUCCAGCUUCCAUAGGCAAUACAUCACAGAGAACCUCAUCCUCAUACCUUCCAAUUGCAAUGGGAACCGAAACCUGACUAGAAACCCUCAUUUCUCCUUCUUCAUUCAACCAUUGAAGCCGGUAGGGCUUUGGAUGUUUCUGUACUUGGAGGCCAAGCUUCUUUACCAUAGUUUCACUAGCUACAUUCACACAACUUCCUCCAUCAAUGAUAAGACUACAGACCUUUCCUUGCACAAGGCACCGAGUGUAGAAUAGAUUCUCUCUCUGUUCUUGCUCUUCAGCUUUACUUUGCAAACUCAAAGUUCUUCUAGCCACCAAUAACCUUCCUUUCACGGGUUCUUCUUCAUAUUCUUCUUCAAUAAGCGCCUUACACUCAGACUCUGAAAGCUCAUCCUCAGAUUCAUACUCUCCAUUCUCAAGAAGAAUCAUGAUUCUUUUAUUGGUGCACUCAUUUGCAUAAUGGCCUCUACCCUGACACUUAAAGCACUUAACAUCUCUAGCUCUUGCACUUGAAACCUCGGCCUUUCCUUUAUCCUUGCUGUAAAAGGAAUUUGGCUUUGAGUCUUCUUUCAGUUGCGGUUUGCUUUCCUUUUGAUAGCUAGACUUUUCUUCUUUAGUUCCCUGAAGUCUGGUGUUGUAACGAGAAUGAGAAUGGCCCUUCCUCUUAACUUGUUGCUCAACUAGUAUAGCUUUGUGAAGCAUCUCUUCUAUCUCCACAUAGUGCUGCAUCUCAACAUUAUCUUGUAUCUCUCGGUUGAGACCUCCUAAGAACCUAGCCAUAGUAGCUUCUUUAUCUUCAGAAACACGAGCUCUCAGCAUCAACAGCUCCAUGUCUUGAUAGUAUUCUUCAACAGAUCGAGAUCCUUGGGUGAGUCUUCUUAACUUCUGGUGCAAGUCGCGAUGAUAGUGAUUUGGCACAAAUCUUUUACGCAUGAGAGCCUUCAUCUCGUGCCAUGUUUCAACGGGAUACUCUUGGUUAAGUCUCCUGGUAGUCACAAGCUGGUCCCACCAACUCAGCGCAUAGUCAUGGAACUCAGUUGCUGCUAUCUGAAUCCUUUGGGCAUUGGUGUAGUGCUUACAGUUAAACACCAACUCCAUCUUCUUUUCCCAUUCCAAGUAAGCAUCCGGAUCAACUUUGCCAUGGAAAGGAGGUAUCUUCAGCUUUAAACCAGCAAGAUCAUCUCUGUAAGUUCUCCUUUCAUCAUGAUCUCUUCUAUGUCUCCUUCUACUAUCUCUAGAAGAGGAACUGCUGUGCGUGGCUCGGUUACGCUCAUAGUAGUGGUCUGUUUCUUGUGAUUCAGCAUGCUCUCUCGGGGUUUCAUCACGUCUUUCUCGUCUAGACUCAUUGCUAUGACCUUGGCCCGUAGCUUGCCUUAUCUCUUGCCUUAUUUCAUCGCGAAGUUCCUUCAUACUGCUCUUGAUCAUAUCAGCAACGGUAGUGAUCAUCGUUUGGUUUAAUUGCUCAGUCAUCUGAUCUCUCAAUAACUUGUUCUGUCUCACGAGUUCUGCUUCAUCUUCCGACUCUCUCACCAUGGUACCUGAUUCAGAAAACACUCAAACAAGUAAGAUGUUCACAAGAAUCAAAUCAGAACAAUUAGUCGACGCGGAAACAACUUUCAAAAGAUUCAAAAGAUAGAAAACUUGCAGAUCACGGAUUAGAGAAUUCAAAUCGACAAGACUAAGAUUAGAUCUAUCAAUUUUGGAUUUAUGCAGAUCAGAUUCAAGACAAAUAAGAACAGAUCUAUCACAGAAACAACACAAAUCAAGUUAUUCAGCAAGUGAUUCGACAGAUCAAGCGAUUCGAUUACUUCCUUCACACGGAUCGGAUGAGUUUGAUUCAAAAUAUGAUAAGAACACUUAGAUCUAAUAGGAUUCAACACAGACGAUUAGCAAUCAGGUGAUAUGCUACUCAGAUGAUACGAGAAACAACAACAGAUCGCAGAUCUAUCAAUGGUAAUCAAAGAAGUUGAAAAGUUUAUUUGAAACAGAAGAGAAAUCGAAAACUUCCCAAUCCAAAGCAGCUCUGAUACCACUUAAUGAACUCCUAGGAUGCUUCUUUGGAUUGAAUUGGAUAGAUCCUUGUAUAAACGAAUCAGAGACUCAAGUUUAUCAAGGUGAUGGAUCGUUUGGUGACACAAAGAGUUGCGGAAUGGCUCCUUGAUACUCCUAGAUGACUAGCUUGGAUAUUACACACCAAAAUAGACACCCUUAGUUGUUGGAUAUGACACACCAACGAGAUUCACUCAAGACUUGAUGAGAAGUAAAGAGAGAACAAAGAAAUCUGAUAGAUUUGUAGAAAAAGGAUUGUGCUUAAAAGAGAGAACGCAAACACACUUAUAUAGAGAAGUAUGGAACAGGCUCCAUAUUCUCGAGAUCAUUAAAGGGAACAGGCUCCCUUGGAACUACAACAAAGACUAAAGACUUAUUCAAAUUCGAAAAGAGUUUUUAAAACAUGAAAUAAAAACCAUAGUUUAAAAAUGACCUAAGGUGGAACCGUGAUACAUCAUCUAAGGUUUAUGUAAGUAACUUGUGGCCUCAUUAAAAACCUUCCUUUGGAAAACCCAAUGGGACAAAACCAAAGGCUAGGAAAAGAGCACACACAAGCACUUGCUUAGAUGAUGAUCAGUUUGAAACCAUUGCUUGAAUGGUGAUAAGAGUGUCUUGAUUGAUCAAACGUCCAUCAAGACCGUCUUCUUGCUUCCAUGAGAUCAUAAGUAGACUUCCAACAGCUUCUUUGAGUCUUCUAGCUUUGGCGCGAGUGAUGGGACCUGGUGGAAUGUGUUGACUUGAAGAAAAGAAAUGGAGUGGUGAAGGGUUGAGUUGAGAUUGAGUCUUGAGCAAGAAUAGGGCAAGACCUCCGGAGAUUAUCUAUGAAGACUUUAGGAGUGUUUGAAGGUGUCCAGAAGUGCUCAUAUGGCUGUGCAAAGAUAGGUCCAAGUCCAGGAGGGACUUAGAAGAGUGUUUGGGAGCAAAUGGGCAAGUGUGCAUACUUAGGGCGAGGCUGUACGGAUGGUACGGACCUGUACGGAUCCGUACGGACCGAGACAACCCGAGGAAACACAACUUGGCCAUUUGAGAUGUUUUGAGGUGGUGCAAAGUCCGGGACAAGAUGUGCAAGCUUAGGGCAUGAUCAGAACAUGUCCGGGAGACUUUGUGCAUACUUAGGGCUGAUAAAAAGAAGUCUGGUCGUGAAGCAUCAAAAGGGAAUCAAGAAGAUCCUUUGUGGAGGCAAGCGGCCAAUGAGAGCAAAGAUGGAGCUGAUUGGUUACUUUGGAGGAUGGACAGGCUGGCUUUGGCUGUAAAGCCAAAGGGAGCCACGACCAUGAACAUGGUCUGAAUGAAGGCUUGAUACAUGGGAGCCUAUAAGGAGCCAAUGGGAGAACAGCCUUCCCUUUGACCAGUUUGAAUAAACCAAUCAGACAUCAACUAGCUCUCCUCCAAUCAAGACAUCUCACACAGAUUGCAAUCUCAACUCUCCAUCCUGGCCAUCCAUUUAUAUUCAGUCAUUUCUAUCCAUUAGAUUUAGGUUUAUGAGAAUGCAAAGUUGUAAACCUUAUAAAAGGAGAUGUAAUUGGCGAUUUCAAGCCUUAAGGGGAGUUUGGGGGAUUUCCCCUCUCCACUUCAUAAUGAAAUGUGUUCU
rnacentral:lncRNA from 1 species